UAUUGACCAUCCAAUAAACCGUAUAAUAUUUCUUGUAGAGAAUAUGGCACUUCCAAAUAUAAUACUCUGCGUGUUUCUACGUUACUAUUUGAAUAUAUAUGCAACCGUGCCAAUAUACGGGACCAACGGCUACUUCGCUUUGAGUUUUGAAUGACAUUCCGAUAAUUUCACAUUUACCAUGUUAAUUAAUUGGUUACUUCUUUGCUUUUUAAUUCAUCACUUUUUACUUUUUACCAUGUUAAUUAAUUGGGUUCCCACUAAGCCUCAAGCUCUCUGUAGUAAUCACAGACGCUAUGAUGGGCGCCCCAGACUAACUGCUGGUGCGAGUCCAAAUUAAUGUGGAACUGCUUUGAGGGUUGCCUGAAGCAUAUGUGUCAUCCAAAGACAAAUGCUAGCGGGAUUGCUUCAGUGGCCGCAUUGAACCUUUGCCUACAAGUGUCCAAGGUUAUAUUGGACGAAGAGAAACAAAGAGCUACUUAUCGGGAAAUUAGCAUCACCUGCGUGUUAAAUCACUAAUCGACAGUGAUAAUGUGUUUAUCAUUGCCGGUCCAUGCUUCAAACUGGCAGUGGUGCUGUGGGCUAUGGCUAUCACUGCCAGUUUGGGCUGUAAAACUGCAUUGAUAGGUAGCUAUCGCUGCUGGUUAGGGAACUGACAGUGAUGCCAAUGGCUACAAUUGCCGGUUCCAAAGAAGACUGGACUUUCAGCUCCCGAGUGCAGAGGCACCCUCAUGAACAGUAAAUUCAAAACAAUAUGAAUUUUUUUGAAAAAUUCUGAAACUUUGGGGGAUCAAAUAUGACCAAACAUUCAACGUUCAUGCAAAGUUUUAGCAUCAAAAAACAUUCAUGGAGCCCUUACAAAAAAAAAACAAAAUCAGUGUUCAAAGUUAUGUGUACUUUUGAGCAGUAACUUUGUUUUUUUUUUUGAGAGGGCUCCUCGAGUGUUAUUUCUGGCUGAAAUUUUGCAAGAACAUCAAAAGUUUGAUCAUAUUUGAUCCCCAAAAAUUUCAGAUUUUUUCAAAAAAAAUUCAUGCUGUUUUGAAGUUACUGUUCAUGAGGGUGCCCUGCACCCAGGAGCUAUCACACCUUUCCCCGGUUCCAAAUCCACAGUGAUAGUCGGUUCUGUAGUAGCGCACACUAUUAACCCAUUGAUUCGUAUGCAAGCAGUUAUAAAUGAAAGAUAUAUAAGGCCAGUCC